UAAGCACUCUGGAGUCACAUGGUUUGUAUAAUAAUUUGAACAAUGUGUCUCAGAGUGUUGU
rnacentral:pre_miRNA from 1 species